rnacentral:rRNA from 1 species
GAGAACCGUCCUUAAGGAACUAGGCAAUUUUCCCCCGUACGUUCGCAAUAAGGGGUCCCUCCGCGUGUGCUUGAUUUAUCAGGUAUAUGGCGAGGGCGCUGAGAAAUGGCUCUGGCGACUGUUUAUCAAAAACACAGUUCUGUGCUAACUCCCAAAGAGGAUGUAUACAGAAUGACGCCUGCUCGGUGCCGGAAGGUUAAGGGGAGGGGUUAGCCGCAAGGCGAUGCUCUAAACUGAAGCCCCGGUAAACGGCGGCCGUAACUAUGACGGUCCUAAGGUAGCGAAGUUCCUUGUCGGGUAAGUUCCGACGUGCAUGAACGGCGUAACGACUGGAGCAGUGUCUCAAGGACGGACUCGGUGAAAUUGUAGAUGUGGUGAAGAUACCACAAUCCCGCAGCAACACGGUAAGACCCCAUGAACCUUUACUGUAGCCUGGUAUUGAUGCCUGGCAUGGCAUGCGUAGGAUAGGUGGGAGGCUGUGAAGUUCCGGUUCCGGCCGGGACAGAGCCAACGUUGAAAUACCACCCUUGUUAUGUUAGUCACCUAACCAUGACCCGUGAAUCCGGGCGUAGGACAGUGCUAGGUGGGCAGUUUGACUGGGGCGGUCUCCUCCCAAAGGGUAACGGAGGAGUUCAAAGGCACACUCAGCGUGGUUGGCAAUCACGUUUAGAGCGCAAGGGUACAAGUGUGCUUAACUGCGAGUCUGAAUGCGACGAGCAGAUGCGAAAGCAGGACCUAGUGAUCCGGCGGUUCCGUAUGGAAGGGCCGUCGCUCAACAGAUAAAAGGUACUCUGGGGAUAACAGGCUGAUGACUCCCGAGCGUUCAUAGCGGCGGAGUCGUUUGGCACAUCGAUGUCGGCUCAUCACAUCCUGGGGCUGAAGGCGGUCCCAAGGGUCGGGCUGUUCGCCCGUUAAAGUGGUACGCGAGCUGGGUUCAGACCGGCGUGAGCCAGGUCGGUCCCUAUGUGCUGUGGGCGCAGGAAUCUUGAGGGGCCAUUUCCUUAGUACGAGAGGAUUAGGAAGUACUGACCUCUGGUGCACCGAUUGUUCCGCUAGGGGCAUAGUCGGGUAGCUACGUCGGGAAAGGAUAACCGCUGAAAGCAUCUAAGUGGGAAGCCCACCCCAAGAUUAGGAUUCCGUGGUCUUCGGACCUGAAGUGCCCUGGUAGACCACCAGGUUGAUAGGCCGGAGGUGCAAGUGCAGAAGUGCAUUCAGCUGACCGGUACUAACGCACGACGACUUGACCAU